rnacentral:ncRNA from 1 species
CAUGGACAGGAUUAACAGACUGAGAGCUCUUUUUUGAUUCUGUGGGUAGUGGUGCAUGGUUGUUCUUAGUUGGUGGAGCGAUCUGUCUGGUUAACUCUCAUAAUAAAAAAGACUCUGGCCUUCCAGGGUGCUCUCAAGGGAGUCUGCAAGCUCUGAUGACUGUUCAGGCUGCUCUU